CUCACUCCGGAUCGAUAUCACAGCUCUCUGAGCCGGACCGACCAUUAGCGCUCUGUAGAGGUGGACCAGGUGAAGAGCACGAGGCCAUACAGAAAAAAUCAGCACGUCGCAAAUCCCGACAACAUCCAACGAGUACUUCGGGAAGGUCAAAGCGGAGAACAACGAGAACCUCGCCCUGUAUGAAGCGCCGAGAACGACGUUUCUGAACACCGCCAGCUGGAUCGGACGCACGACGUGAGCAAGAGCGUUCAGACGCACACGGAGACACACCGGCUAUGCACCCUAGGACGACUCCGAUCU